rnacentral:miRNA from 1 species
UGUGUGUGUGUGUGUGUGUGUAUACACACACACACACACACACACACA